UUCGGGUUGUAAAGCUCUUUUGUCAGGGAAGAAACGGUCUUGGUUAAUACCUGGGGCUAAUGACGGUACCUGAAGAAUAAGCACCGGCUAACUACGUGCCAGCAGCCGCGGUAAUACGUAGGGUGCAAGCGUUAAUCGGAAUUACUGGGCGUAAAGCGUGCGCAGGCGGUUAUACAAGACAGAUGUGAAAUCCCCGGGCUCAACCUGGGAAUUGCAUUUGUGACUGUAUGGCUAGAGUGUGUCAGAGGGGGGUAGAAUUCCACGUGUAGCAGUGAAAUGCGUAGAUAUGUGGAGGAAUACCGAUGGCGAAGGCAGCCCCCUGGGAUAACACUGACGCUCAUGCACGAAAGCGUGGGGAGCAAACAGGAUUAGAUACCCUGGUAGUCCACGCCCUAAACGAUGUCUACUAGUUGUCGGGUCUUAAUUGACUUGGUAACGCAGCUAACGCGUGAAGUAGACCGCCUGGGGAGUACGGUCGCAAGAUUAAAACU
rnacentral:rRNA from 1 species